GAUCAUGGCUCAGAUUGAACGCUGGCGGCAGGCCUAACACAUGCAAGUCGAGCGGAUGACAGGAGCUUGCUCCUGAAUUCAGCGGCGGACGGGUGAGUAAUGCCUAGGAAUCUGCCUGGUAGUGGGGGACAACGUUUCGAAAGGAACGCUAAUACCGCAUACGUCCUACGGGAGAAAGCAGGGGACCUUCGGGCCUUGCGCUAUCAGAUGAGCCUAGGUCGGAUUAGCUAGUUGGUGAGGUAAUGGCUCACCAAGGCGACGAUCCGUAACUGGUCUGAGAGGAUGAUCAGUCACACUGGAACUGAGACACGGUCCAGACUCCUACGGGAGGCAGCAGUGGGGAACAUUGGACAAUGGGCGAAAGCCUGAUCCAGCCAUGCCGCGUGUGUGAAGAAGGUCUUCGGAUUGUAAAGCACUUUAAGUUGGGAGGAAGGGCAUUAACCUAAUACGUUAGUGUUUUGACGUUACCGACAGGAUAAGCACCGGCUAACUCUGUG
rnacentral:rRNA from 1 species